rnacentral:lncRNA from 1 species
AUGGCAAGGGAGUGGCUCAAAUUCUUCACAUUGCCCCUGCUCUGCCUGCACCCCCACCCCCACCCCAGGCAAGCGGUUUCUACAGGAUUAUGUCAUUUUUGGUGGAAAGGAUCAAAGAAGUGGAAGGUGGAAAAUCAAUGGAAAGAGUGGAGAGCGCUGAUGCGAAAAGAGCAAGAGCCAGACAAGAAUACCGGGAGAGAGAAGAACAAAGCUUUUCCCUCUCUGCUUCUGGAAUGUAAAUAUUAUCUCAGUUUGAAGAUAGAAGAGGGGCAAAGAACAACAGAUGCUUUCAUUCAACAGUACUUACCAAGUGGCCACUUUGAAUUAGGCCCAUAUGAAUCCAGUCAAAGCACCAUCAGGGGCUGCCAAAACUAGAAGAUCCCAGAUGUCCUGGUGCAGGAGGUGAAUAUCUUCUCAACUGAAGACAUGGAAACAACUUAAAUGUCCAUCGACAGAUGCAUGGAUUAAGAAGAUAUGGUAUAUACACACAAUGGAAUAGUACUCAGCCAUAAAAGAGAACAAAAUAAUGACACUUGCAGCAACAUAUAUGGAACUAGAGACUCUCAUACUUAAGUGAGGUAAGUCAGAAUGAGAAAGACAAAUACCAUAUGAUAUCUCUUAUACAUGGAAUCUAAUAUAUGGUACAAAUGAACCUUUCUACAGGAAAAAAAACUCAUGGACAUAGAGAAUAGACUUGUGGUUGCCAAGGAUGGGAGAAGGGAGUGGGACAGACUGGGAAUCUGGGGUUAAUAGAUGUAAACUAUUGUCUUUGGAACAGAUAAGCAAUGAGAUCCUGCUGUAUAGCACUAGGAACUCUUACCUAGUCACUUAUGAUGGAUCAUGAUGGAGAAUAAUAUGAGAAAAAGAAUGUAUAUACGUGUGUAACUGGGUCACUUUGCUGUACAGUAGAAAAUUGACAGAACACUGUAAACCAGCUAUAAUGGAAAACAUAAAAAUCAUUAAAAAAAAAAAAAAAAGAUCAGACAUGUCAAGAGCUAACCAGAGUACAGCCCAGCAGUGUUAAGUCCCCGGAACCUCUGCAAACCUCAUCUGAAUGCACUACUAAUUUCAUUUCUUACCCUAGUGGUCUCUUCAGCCUUUCUCAAACUUUGUCUUACACUCUUCCCUUUGCUGACAGUGCGUUUCUUCUCACUCAACUACUGAAGGGAAAAAAAUCCGCCUUUCAAGAUCGAAUCUAAAGGACACAUCUCCUCUGGUCCUCUCUUCCAGUUCCCUUGAUCCCAGUAAGCCCACUGUUGCUUACUCGUACCUUGCUGGUUACAAGGUACAGAUGCACCAUAAGUACAUACUUGCCUGCCAUGCCCACUAGACUGUGAAACGCAGUAAUUCUUAAACCCUCAGCACUUAGCUUGGUGCCUGGCACAUGAUAGGUGGUUAAUAUAUA